rnacentral:lncRNA from 1 species
GUCAUAUAUGUAGCACCUAGCCAGAGAUGUUAUACAUCUAUCUAUGGUAGCACACAGAAACGUGUCCGAUUCCUCCAAAACGCGUCAAUGUGACGUCAAUGAUUUGAUAAACAUGUCAAAUUGCACUGGCGAAACCACUUCUGCGGGACGCCGGUCGAGCAGUACCCUCAUAGACAUACAUUUUGUAAAAAGACAUUUAUAGGCAUCACCGGA